rnacentral:misc_RNA from 1 species
CAGAGUUCAUGCCCUCACGGGUAGAUCUCCCACCCUUUGAGUACUAUACUUUUGUUGCUUUGGCAGGCACUCACCAGCCGGAGGACCCCAAACUCUGAAUUACAGUGUCGUCUGAGAACUACAAAAUAGUUA